rnacentral:rRNA from 1 species
CCUACGGGUGGCAGCAGUGAGGAAUAUUGGUCAAUGGGCGCGAGCCUGAACCAGCCAAGUAGCGUGAAGGAUGACUGCCCUACGGGUUGUAAACUUCUUUUAUAAAGGAAUAAAGUGAGGCACGUGUGCCUUUUUGUAUGUACUUUAUGAAUAAGGAUCGGCUAACUCCGUGCCAGCAGCCGCGGUAAUACGGAGGAUCCGAGCGUUAUCCGGAUUUAUUGGGUUUAAAGGGAGCGUAGAUGGGUUGUUAAGUCAGUGGUGAAAUGCCCCCGCUCAACGGGGUGAAGUGCCAUUGAUACUGCCUUGCUGGAAUGCGGAUGCCGUGGGAGGAAUGUGUGGUGUAGCGGUGAAAUGCAUAGAUAUCACACAGAACACCGAUUGCGAAGGCAUCUCACGAAUCCGCGAUUGACGCUGAUGCACGAAAGCGUGGGUAUCAAACAGGAUUAGAUACCCUGGUAGUC